UUACAUUGUCACGACUUCCGGUGGUAUAUGACGAAUGUAUUUCCGUUUCCGGAGCCGGUGAAAUCCAUAGCUGCUGGAGAAAUACGUAACAUGGCGAAGCCUGUUUGCCUGGAUAGCAUGGGGAAGUCGAUGAAACCAGGGUGUGUUUGGUUGUCACGGCCAGGGUAUAAAUCAGUGGUGGCAACUGAGGGAAGACCGGACUCUGGGCAUGGCUAUGCAGGAUAAAAAGCCAUGAGAAGGGCACCCUUGUGUUGAAGAAAAGCUGCCCUGGACAACAGUCGUGGACCUACGACAAGGAGAAUCAAACCAUGCUUCACAGCCCUUCUAAAAUGUGUUUACAAGUGACUGUGUGCAACUUAAGCUGACACUCGCUACAUGCUCGGGAACGGCAUGGCAAAGUGGAUAGUGCCACUGAAGAGUAUGCAAUCUAAACAUUAGCGUGACAGUAUCGAGAUAAUUGUGUAUAUCAAACGAUCUCAAACUGAGGUUGGCUGACGAUGUGCUUCAUAUCAUCCAAGGAGAAUGUAUCGAAUGAAGUAAGAAAAGGACUGAAGGAACAUACGAAGACAAAGUUCUAAAUUCAUCUGGACAUCUGCAGCGCUGUAUAACGCCGUUUUCCAUAAAAUCUGUACAUGGAAAUAUAUCCAUUGAAUGUUGGACUUCAGGUGACCUUGAACUUCACACGACACGUGUACAUAUACGUUUGCUGGUUAAUGUAACCAGAUAUCUUUGAGUAACAUUUGACAUGCUACACAUUUGAUCCAUCAAUCCAUCACCUGUCACGAAAUGCAACUCUAUAUGGAAGAGUGUUAAAAGCUGUCAGUGUUCCGAUGAUAGCAACUGAGGGAAUACCAUAGCGGAAAGUAAGAAGUGCACAUGUUUUUGGCUAAUGUCACACAAAUCCAGUGCUACCGUGGAAUAAUACUCUCACUGAUGUGAACGACAUUAGAAACCUUAUAUAUAUUUUUUAAUAUGACUCAACUCGGAAAUUGACGAAAGGUUCUCUGUAAGGUAAAGGGAAUGGGCUUAUUCAUGUCGUUAACGUUAGACAGAGUUAUUGUUUAGGGGUUGGCGCAGUACUUAUCUGGUAUUGGAACACUAUGACUGGCAGACCCUUAUUUAAUUUUACAUACGAACUUAUGUGCUGCGAACUGUGUCCAGUAGACGCUGAACCAUAAUCACGACAACUAAAUACAGGGGUAGGGCGAUGACUUGUGAUUUACGCACUAAAGCAGUUAUCUGCGAAUGAAAAAAAUCUCCCCAGAACAACAAAUAAUGUAUAAAAACAAGCUACUAGGAAACACUACUGAACUCAGGUAGUAUUACGUAAGGUAUCUUAGGUGAUGAAUAAAACCGGAUUCAUGAUUUU
rnacentral:lncRNA from 1 species